UACGUAGGGCGCAAGCGUUAUCCGGAAUUAUUGGGCGUAAAGAGCUCGUAGGCGGUUUGUCGCGUCUGCUGUGAAAACUGGAGGCUCAACCUCCAGCCUGCAGUGGGUACGGGCAAACUAGAGUGCGGUAGGGGAGAUUGGAAUUCCUGGUGUAGCGGUGGAAUGCGCAGAUAUCAGGAGGAACACCGGUGGCGAAGGCGGGUCUCUGGGCCGAUACUGACGCUGAGGAGCGAAAGCGUGGGGAGCGAACAGG
rnacentral:rRNA from 1 species